rnacentral:rRNA from 1 species
GUGUUCGGGUUGUCAUGCCAAUGGCACUGCCCGGUAGCUAAAUGCGGAAGAGAUAAGUGCUGAAAGCAUCUAAGCACGAAACUUGCCCCGAGAUGAGUUCUCCCUGAGGCUUUAGGUCUCCUGAAGGAACGUUGAAGACGACGACGUUGAUAGGCCGGGUGUGUAAGCGCAGCGAUGCGUUGAGCUAACCGGUACUAAUGAACCGUGAGGCUUAACCUU